ACUGCCUCCUUGGAAGUAUUGGGAGUGAGUUCUGCCCUUUGGAAUGGGGUCUGUCAGCAGAAGGAGCAGCAACUGCACCUGGAGAUUGCUUCCUUUAGAGCGUGGGGUGAACCCUUGAAACUGGGACUGUGACCUUUCCUGUUUUUGGGGCAUCCUGACCACAUUGAAGUGCUGGCAGAUGUAAGGGCAGCACUGAUCUCUGGACUGUCUCCUGUGGAGCAGGGGGCUGUUAUGCACUGCUUCCAACCAUGCAGAGUUGUUUAAGGGCGUUCUGUGCACCCUUAGGUGUAAUAAAUCUUCGUCUUUAUAGAAAGCCAAGGAUUGUCCUCUUCUGGACUGCUGUACUCAGUAUCACCCCAGUGUGAUGAAGUGAAGCCCCUGCUCUGCUGAAUACUGGGACUGGCCCAGAGAGGCUCUGAUGGAUGUGGAUUAUCCUAGCCAGAGUACUUGGUACCAUUGGUGGUGAUCUCGUCCAACUGCCACACAAUGAACAGGAACAUCCACAGCCAGAUCUGGCUGACCCAGCCUCACCUUGGAAGGGACGGGGCAUCCAUCACAUGUCUGGGGACUUCACCUGACUGCCUCGACUUCUCAAAUACCACUGAGAGUGGCUCGGUGACUGCAGCGGUGAAUUCCCUCAGGGCUCUGGGACUCGUCUCAUCAGGACCCAAAGACUCCUGGAUGUCAGGU